rnacentral:rRNA from 1 species
CAUUAUACCGUGAAACUGCGAAUGGCUCAUUAAAUCAGUUAUCGUUUAUUUGAUAGUACCUUACUACUUGGAUAACCGUGGUAAUUCUAGAGCUAAUACAUGCUGAAAACCCCAACUUCGGGAGGGGUGUAUUUAUUAGAUAAAAAACCAACGCCCUUCGGGGCUUCUUGGUGAUUCAUGAUAACUUUACGGAUCGCAUGGCCUUGCGCUGGCGACGGUUCAUUCAAAUUUCUGCCCUAUCAACUUUCGAUGGUAAGGUAUUGGCUUACCAUGGUUUCAACGGGUAACGGGGAAUUAGGGUUCGAUUCCGGAGAGGGAGCCUGAGAAACGGCUACCACAUCCAAGGAAGGCAGCAGGCGCGCAAAUUACCCAAUCCCGACACGGGGAGGUAGUGACAAUAAAUACUGAUACAGGGCUCUUUUGGGUCUUGUAAUUGGAAUGAGUACAAUUUAAACCUCUUAACGAGGAACAAUUGGAGGGCAAGUCUGGUGCCAGCAGCCGCGGUAAUUCCAGCUCCAAUAGCGUAUAUUAAAGUUGUUGCAGUUAAAAAGCUCGUAGUUGAAACUUGGGUCUGGCUGGCGGGUCCGCCUCACCGCGUGUACUUGUCCGGCCGGGCCUUCCUUCUGGAGAACCUCAUGCCCUUUACUGGGCGUGUUGGGGACCAGGACUUUUACUUUGAAAAAAUUAGAGUGUUCAAAGCAGGCCUUUGCUCGAAUACGUUAGCAUGGAAUAAUAGAAUAGGACGUGCGGUCCUAUUUUGUUGGUUUCUAGGACCGCCGUAAUGAUUAAUAGGGACAGUCGGGGGCAUCAGUAUUCAAUUGUCAGAGGUGAAAUUCUUGGAUUUAUUGAAGACUAACUACUGCGAAAGCAUUUGCCAAGGAUGUUUUCAUUAAUCAGUGAACGAAAGUUAGGGGAUCGAAGACGAUCAGAUACCGUCGUAGUCUUAACCGUAAACUAUGCCGACUAGGGAUCGGGCGAUGUUCUUUUUCUGACUCGCUCGGCACCUUACGAGAAAUCAAAG